rnacentral:rRNA from 1 species
CUGGAGGUAUCAGAAGUGCGAAUGCUGACAUAAGUAACGAUAAAGCGGGUGAAAAGCCCGCUCGCCGGAAGACCAAGGGUUCCUGUCCAACGUUAAUCGGGGCAGGGUGAGUCGACCCCUAAGGCGAGGCCGAAAGGCGUAGUCGAUGGGAAACGGGUUAAUAUUCCCGUACUUGGUGUUACUGCGAAGGGGGGACGGAGAAGGCUAUGUUGGCCGGGCGACGGUUGUCCCGGUUUAAGCGUGUAGGUGUGUGUUCCAGGUAAAUCCGGUUCACUUUAACACUGAGGCGUGACGACGAGGCACUACGGUGCUGAAGCAACAAAUGCCCUGCUUCCAGGAAAAGCCUCUAAGCAUCAGGUAACAUCAAAUCGUACCCCAAACCGACACAGGUGGUCAGGUAGAGAAUACCAAGGCGCUUGAGAGAACUCGGGUGAAGGAACUAGGCAAAAUGGUGCCGUAACUUCGGGAGAAGGCACGCUGACACGUAGGUGAAGUGAUUUACUCAUG